UUGGACACCAGUGGCUGGACACCAGUGGAUGGACAGCAGACGUAAUUUCCGUAUAGUCAUUCACUUUUCAAAUUGACGUCAUUUCCAUAUCGUCAUUCACUUUUCAAAUUGACGUUAUUUCCAUAUCGUCAUUCACUUUUCAAAUUGACGUCAUUUCUGUAUCGUCAUUCACUUUUCAAUUUUGAUGCGCCAUGCAGAUGUCAGCAGUAAAAAAAUAAUAAUAAACUGUCGAUGAUUUAUACGUCAUGUCAGAAUUCAAAUGCACAAACUAGCUGGUUAAAAAAAUCGUCUUGUUUUCAAGGUACUGUGUUGUGUUUUUUUAAAGGUAUUAGUGAACUCUGGUGUGCCUCAAUUCUAGAGCUGGUGUAAUCCAGGUCAAAAUUGAGCUGAUCAGAAAAAUAAAUAUAAUUUAUAAUAAUUAUAUUCUUACUCAAAAUGUUUAAACAAGAAACAAGAUGUGUUGCAAAAGUCGUUCUGCUGUAUGUUGAACAUUAAAACAAUUAAUUUUACUAUAAUAAUUAAAGCGUGACGUUUGCCAUAAGGCGGGCGCUGUGCAUGACGUCACUGUAAUGAGACGCAUGGUUGCAGAGAGAGCACGAGUUUCACAGAUCGCGAGUGAAUUCAAACUGGAUCAAAAGGCAAAUAUAACAAUCAUCCUUGCUUAAUAUACAUAAAUAAUAAGUUGUAUGUUGUUGUAAUCCUUAUAUUAAUCUUAUUUGGGCCAUUUUAGUGUGAUGAUUAAUUGAUUUUGGAGUGGAUGAUAGCCGAUUGCGAGCCCUGUAGAAUCCGAUGUGACUGAUUAAUUGUUUAGUGAAAUCCCCCGGAUUUGGUGAGUUUCAUGAUAAUAUAAUAUCCAAUUAUCUGAAAUGAAGUGUUAAUGAGUUAAUUCACGUUCUGAAGUGUUUUAUAUGGGUUUAUAUGCAUUUAGUGUUCAGAUGGUAUGUGUAAUGUGAUGUAAUUGAAUGUAUUGUAUUGCUGAAGACCUUACAAAUGCUAAGUAAGCAGAGUUAUAUCAUUUAUGAGAAUGAUUUAUGCUUUUAGUAACAAAAGUGCUCAAAUAGUAUUUUCCACUUGGUUUAGUUAAUAUAUGAAAUAUAUAUUGAGUUUAAAAGUCAUACUAAUUGUCUAUGAUGUUUAUGAUGGUUAUGGCGCUGUUUGUAUAAACAGGUCAGGUUUUUUUGAGAUUGCGAAAUAAGCUGUGAUCCUGAGAUGGCGAGCCACCCAGCUGAAAAGUCCUAAAAGAGACAAGAAAUCCUGUGAUUCAUUGAGUGAUCAGUGCCUUAUCUGACGUAACAAGUGGAAUUCAUCCUAAGUGGCAAAUCACAUUAGUGUGCGUAAAGGGACGGAGCUACCACCAAUACAGAAAUGCACAGAGUGCUGCAAGCCGGUAUCACUGCCCGCUGUGCAAUUCAAACACUGUGGGGUACUGUGGAAACGGAAGACGUGGAGACCUGCGAGGGUUUUAUACAGACCCUGAAUUUCCUGAGCAUUGCCCAGACUGCCAGUUUUAGGGGCAUGAAUGAGGUGUGGUGUGCACAGUGUGCAAUAGUUUAUUUGGAACUGUUCAUGUUUUAUUUUCUUUUGAAAUAGGGACUUCCCCCACAACCUUACGGGCCUGACUGUGGCAUCUUCAUUCUGAUGGUCAGAUUUGACAAAUUUUACUAAUUAGAUUGUGUAAUUUCCAAUAAAUAUUGCAAAACCAUGAAGUGUUUAUUUGAUCUGGAUUGUUUGGUAAAUUGUCUGAUCAUGUGAAUCUACAUAUAUUUUAAAAACAGAAGUGGUUACAUUUACAAAAAAAAA